GCGAAAGUGGCGGAAUUGGCAGACGCGCUAGACUUAGGAUCUAGUGGGAAACCCCGUGAGGGUUCGAGUCCCUCCUUUCGCA
rnacentral:tRNA from 1 species